rnacentral:rRNA from 1 species
CAGCUUGACACUGCUACUUGGAUAAGAAUGUGCAGGAUAGGUGGGAGGCUUUGAGUAUAUGACGCCAGUUGUAUAUGAGCCAUUGUUGAGAUACCACUCUUUCUUAUUUGGGUAGCUAACCAGCUUGAGUUAUCCUCAAGUGGGACAAUGUCUGGUGGGUAGUUUGACUGGGGCGGUCGCCUCCCAAAUAAUAACGGAGGCUUACAAAGGUUGGCUCAGAACGGUUGGAAAUCGUUCGUAGAGUAUAAAGGUAUAAGCCAGCUUAACUGCAAGACAUACAAGUCAAGCAGAGACGAAAGUCGGUCUUAGUGAUCCGGUGGUUCUGUGUGGAAGGGCCAUCGCUCAAAGGAUAAAAGGUACCCCGGGGAUAACAGGCUGAUCUCCCCCAAGAGCUCACAUCGACGGGGAGGUUUGGCACCUCGAUGUCGGCUCAUCGCAUCCUGGGGCUGGAGCAGGUCCCAAGGGUAUGGCUGUUCGCCAUUUAAAGCGGUACGCGAGCUGGGUUUAGAACGUCGUGAGACAGUUCGGUCCCUAUCUGCCGUGGGCGUAAGAAGAUUGAAGAGAUUUGACCCUAGUACGAGAGGACCGGGUUGAACAAACCACUGGUGUAGCUGUUGUUCUGCCAAGAGCAUCGCAGCGUAGCUAAGUUUGGAAAGGAUAAACGCUGAAAGCAUCUAAGCGUGAAGCCAACUCUAAGAUGAAUCUUCUCUAAGCUCUCUAGAAGACUACUAGUUUGAUAGGCUGGGUGUGUAAUGGAUGAAAGUCCUUUAGCUGACCAGUACUAAUAGAGCGUUUGGCUUAUCUUUAAUAAAGCAU